rnacentral:rRNA from 1 species
GCAGUCGCCGCGGUAAUACAGAGGGUGCGAGCGUUAAUCGGAUUUACUGGGCGUAAAGCGUGCGUAGGCGGCUUUUUAAGUCGGAUGUGAAAUCCCUGAGCUUAACUUAGGAAUUGCAUUCGAUACUGGGAAGCUAGAGUAUGGGAGAGGAUGGUAGAAUUCCAGGUGUAGCGGUGAAAUGCGUAGAUAUCGUGAGGAAGACCAGUGGCGAAGGCGAUUCUCUGGGCAGUUCCUGACACUGAGGCACGAAGGCCAGGGGAGCAAACGGGAUUAGAUACCCCUGUAGUCCCUGUCUCUUAUAC